AUGCAAACUCAGUGAUGCAUUGGCUUGUGGCCAAUGCAGUGCUGCAGGGAAGCCGUUAAGUUUGCCGCCUGGGAAGUACGUACGCAAGUAUGAAACUUAAAGGAAUUGGCGGGGGAGCACCACAAGGGGUGAAGCCUGCGGUUCAAUUGGAGUCAACGCCAGAAAUCUUACCCGGAGAGACAGCAGAAUGAAGGUCAAGCUGAAGACUUUACCAGACAAGCUGAGAGGUGGUGCAUGGCCGUCGCCAGCUCGUGCCGUGAGAUGUCCUGUUAAGUCAGGUAACGAGCGAGAUCCCUGCCUCUAGUUGCCACCAUUACUCUCAGGAGUAGUGGGGCGAAUUAGCGGGAGCGCCGCAGUGAAUGCGGAGGAAGGAAGGGGACACGGCAGGUCGGUAUGCCCGGAAACUCUGGGGCCACACGCGGGCUGCACUGGUAGGGACAAUUGGUUUCGGAUCCGAAGCGAUGAGGUAAGCGUCAAACGCAACAAGAGUAGAGGCUGAAGGCUGGAACACGCCCGCACGAAUUUGGGGUCCCUAGUCACUGCGUGUCGGUAUCCCUCGGUGACUACGUGCA
rnacentral:rRNA from 1 species